AGGACGUGCCUUUCCGGCAUCCUUUCCUAAAACUUAUCCGCCGGUCAUCUGACCGGCCUUUUUUGCAUUGAU
rnacentral:misc_RNA from 1 species